CGAACGAAGCACUCUAUUUGAUUUUCUUCGGAAAUGAAGAUUUUGUGACUGAGUGGCGGACGGGUGAGUAACGCGUGGGUAACCUGCCUCAUACAGGGGGAUAACAGUUGGAAACGACUGCUAAUACCGCAUAAGCGCACAGGAUUGCAUGAUCCGGUGUGAAAAACUCCGGUGGUAUGGGAUGGACCCGCGUCUGAUUAGCCAGUUGGCAGGGUAACGGCCUACCAAAGCGACGAUCAGUAGCCGACCUGAGAGGGUGACCGGCCACAUUGGGACUGAGACACGGCCCAAACUCCUACGGGAGGCAGCAGUGGGGAAUAUUGCACAAUGGGGGAAACCCUGAUGCAGCGACGCCGCGUGAGCGAAGAAGUAUUUCGGUAUGUAAAGCUCUAUCAGCAGGGAAGAAGAAUGACGGUACCUGACUAAGAAGCACCGGCUAAAUACGUGCCAGCAGCCGCGGUAAUACGUAUGGUGCAAGCGUUAUCCGGAUUUACUGGGUGUAAAGGGAGCGCAGGCGGUGCGGCAAGUCUGAUGUGAAAGCCCGGGGCUCAACCCCGGUACUGCAUUGGAAACUGUCGUACUAGAGUGUCGGAGGGGUAAGUGGAAUUCCUAGUGUAGCGGUGAAAUGCGUAGAUAUUAGGAGGAACACCAGUGGCGAA
rnacentral:rRNA from 1 species